GCUUCUACUCAAGCAAGCCGAUCAUCUGAUCCAUCAAAUAGUAAUAAUCCUACUCCUAGUACAGAUGAUUCAACUAGAAUCAGGAAAGGUCGUGGAAGGACAAUGGGAAAAGGUCUU